rnacentral:lncRNA from 1 species
UCUAGUGAGCAGAGCCUCCUCUAAAACCCAAUUCUUUCUACAUACUUUUUGCCUAAUGGAUAGAGCAACCUGCCAGGAAUUUGGAGGACUUAAAUAAACAUUGAAGAUACAAAAGCACACAAGGGAUGAUUUUAUUGUAAAGUCAUGUUGUCAUCAAAUGCUGUGAUUUCUUCCCUGGUGAGGGCAGUUUUCAGGCUACCACAGUUGCCUCUGGUCAUGUCAUGGGUGAGUUCUGGCCCUGACAGCUGAUGUUGUUUCCUGACUUUUGACUGAUGGGGAAUUAAAUGCCUGUUUUACCACGACAGGUUAUUGCUUUGUUGAUCAGGUUGGAGUGCAGUGGCCAAUCAUAGCUCACUGCAGGUUCAAACUCCUGGGCUCAAGGAAUUCUUCCACCUCAGCCUCCUGAGUCACUGAGACGACAGAAGUUACAUCAAGGGGGUGCCUUCCUCUGCUGUCUCCCCUUCUACGUCGUCCACCUUCUACAUCUCUGCUACCUCGGAGACAGCAAGGCCAACUCCUCAUCUUCUUCUCCUCCUCAGCCUACUCAAUAUGAAGACACUGAGGGAUGAAGACCUUUAUGAUGAUCCACUUCGACUUAAUAAAUACUGUGGAAUUGGGACGAAUCGCUGCACAGAGGGGCCUUGCCCAAGGCUACGCAGCUGGUGGAUGGAGAAAUCAGGCGCUUGCUGGCCGCCUGGCAGGCAGCUUUCCCUGCGAGGGAAGGAGGUGCCUCCGGCCUCUGAAGAGGUGGCUAUGGGAUAG